CUUUUUUUGACAGGCUGUUCAUGGCUGAGGAAAGCCUGAUAGAAGGCGAAGAUGAAAACAUUUGUGUACGAUUUACUUGUUAUUAACGAAUGGCCGGCAGAGACAGACACUCAGUUGCGAGGAGCACAACAUAUCAGUUAUUGCCAAAGCAGUGACAGGGCCAUUCCGUUUAGUCAGGGCCGCCCCUCCCUACAGGCCAAUCACGCAGGCUGCAGGGGGCCCCGCCCAGAGGGCCUCAGCUGCUGUGUGCAGUUCUCCACACACCCCCGCAAGAGUGAGAGGUGACAAGGGGAGCACGUCUGUAACCCGACACCGUUGCAAUUAAUCAACAUCUGACCAAUCACGGCUUUGAUACGGCCACUAGUGCAGAUGAAGAGAUGUCGGUGAAAAGACAGUUUCAGUCCAGCGCAAGCAAGAGGGGGAAAAAACAAAACAUGAAGAAACUAGAGCAUCACUCGAAGCCCCUCCAGCUCCUGUCUACCUCUGGGUCUUGUGCGCCUCGCCCAUAAGCAGGUGCUUGCAAAGUAAUGGCAAACUGUUGGCGGUGGUUCAGGACCAGUGUGUGGAGAUUAGGUCUGUGAGAGAUGACUUUGGCUCGAUCAUUGGGAAGUGCCAGGUGCCGAAGGACCCAAACCCCCAGUGGUGAAAGGCGGCAUGGAGCCACGACUGCACCCUGCUGGGCUACGCCGACAGCACUGGCACCGUGCGCCUCUUCGACCUCAUAGGCAGCGAACUCUUCGUCAUCCCUCCGUCACAGAAUCGAAUGAUGAAGGAAUCGAGGCAGGCCUCAUCCACAAGUACUUCACAGAGGGACACGCUUAUGAAGUGAUACUUGAUUUUCUAGAAAAAAGACACAACAUUGUUCUUAGUCUGAGGACCUUAAAGAGGAGGCUACAGAACGCUGGCUUAACAAGAAGGACAGACUACACUCCCAUUGGCACAGUACACCAAACUGUUGCACAUGAACUGAGAGGCUCGGGUCGGCUGUUGGGUUACAGAGCUAUGUGGCAGACAUUGCAACAAAAGUAUCACCUGACAGUAAAAAGGGAGGAUGUUAGACAGACGAUUUCCAGACUGGAUCCAUCUGGUGUUCAACUUCGUUCCAGGCGAAGGUUUGUCCGAAGGGGAUACGUCACAGCAGGACCAAACCAAGUGUGGCACGCUGAUGGAUAUGAUAAACUUAAACCCUUUGGUAUUGCCAUCAGUGGCUGCAUCGACGGCUUUUCAAGGAAAGUUAUGUGGCUCAGGAGUGGCAGCACUAACAACGAUCCGGGCAUCAUUGCGCAGUAUUACCUGCAGUGUGUAUCGGAGUUUGGACUACUUCCAGCCCGCCUUCGCACUGACUGUGGAACUGAAAACGGCACUAUGGCAGCCAUUAACUGCACAUUACGAUCUCAACACACAUGAUUUUGCAGGAGCCCUCAGUCACAUGUAUGGUACCUCAACUGCAAACCAGCGCAUCGAGAGUUGGUGGUCUUUCUUCAGAAAGCAAAGGUAUAGCCUUUUAAGGUCAGGUCCAAGAAUGUAUGUGUGUGUGUAUAUAGUACAGAGGUGCCCAAAUACUUUAAAUCUAUCUGGAUGAAAACAAUUGAAAAAAUUGUGAAAUUACAUUAGAGCUGUACACUAACAUUUUCCCAAGGGAGUUUAUGUGCUCCCAAAUGAAAUAAUGUAGGAGCGCACCAAGAAAUGUACAACAUUUCUAGAAAUAUUUGUUGUCUUUUUUUCAUGAAAUACAAAAGUUUUGAAUUCCACCAUUAGGACUCAGUUCUGGAUCGAGCUCUUCAGUGACCUUAGAGAGAGGCACCUCUUCAAUGGGAGCCAUGAGCACAAGUGUCUGCUGCGAUAUGUGUUUUUGGGCAUCUUACAAAAAGACCUCGAUGAGUACAGACAGCUGUGGAACAACCACACCAUCCGACCUGUUCGCCUGUCUCAGUGUCCAUCAGGUAAACCUGAUGCCAUGUACCACCUGCCUCACAGGUUUGUAUUGAAAUUGUUUGGUAAUAUUACUUUAAAAUAUAUCUGACUUCAUAUAAUUUGGUGUAUCAGCCCAAUAUGACAAGUUUGUCACUUGAUAAAUAACGUGAUUCAUUUAGUCUGAAAACUCAUUAUUUCAAAAAUGAUUUCAAGUCUUAAACGACUAAAAAUGGAUUCUGAUAAAUCAGAAAAUGUCCAAAGCUAUUCUGUCGAUUUAUCUUACUCAAUUCCAAAAAGUACCUUGUGUUAGAAAGUGAGUAGAAUGACCAUAUUUGACUGAAAGAGCUGCUGUCAACCUGAGAUUAACUUCUCAAGUCAAAGCUCUUUGUUUAGGAUUUAAUUAACGAAGAACUGACUCAAUGGAGUUUUAGUUAUAAUGCUUAUCUAGCAUGUUUGGGGGGGUUAAAUGAUCCAUUUGUAAUCACUUGACUCAUUAUGUUUCAAUUUAUGACUGGUCUUAGGUUUGGCGGAAGGGAGUGUGGAUUUCCAGUGUCCUGGGAAGCCCUACACCACUUUGAUGGCAUCAUGCAAGCAUCAUCCCAGUACAAUUUGUGUGGUGAUGAGAAUCUGGAGAUGCAUUUUGUGGACUUGCAAAGACGGAGUGGGUUGGCUCCACCAGUGAACUGGACAGCUGCUGUUCAGAAUUACAUUUCCAUGAAAAACAUGUCUGGAGUGUAGAAUACAUUGCCCCACCAGCCCCCCAGAACCUUUUUUGUGUGUACAAGUUUCCAAUGUAGGUUGAAUAUUAUUUAGAAUGCUGCAAUUCUGAGUAGAUAAGUCCAGUGAAAUAUUCAGCUUGUAUCUUUGCAUAAGUCAUUAGACUGAAACCUUUCUUUGUUUAAAUAAACAUACAGCAUAUUCAUGUAUUUUGUAAAACAUGUUUAGUGUUACAUCCGUGUUAUCAGUUGAAUGGUCGAUCGUCAGAAAAUUAUACACCUAAUAUUUUGGUAAUUGAUUUUAAUUUUGUUUUGAAUAUAAGCAGGUUCCAGCCUCUAAAAUGUGAAUAUUUGCUGGAUUAAUUUGUUCUCUGUGAGGCUUAACUUUCUGACAUUUUAAAGACCAAGGCGUGUCCGAAAUCACUCUCAUUCACACUAUAGGGAAUUCUAUAUAGUGAGUAGUGAGUGAUUUCAGACACAGCCCAUAACAAAUUGAUGAAUCAACAAUAACAUUCAUUCAUUGCAUCAGUCACAUAUGCUACUGUUAUUUCUGUUUUCACAGUGGAUCUGAGAAUAAAAUCUUGUGAACCAGCUA